rnacentral:rRNA from 1 species
UACGUAGGGUGCGAGCGUUGCCCGGAUUUAUUGGGCGUAAAGGGCGCGUAGGCGGCUCUGCACGUCCGUUGUGAAAUCGCCCGGCUCAACUGGGCGGGGUCAGCGGAUACGGCGUGGCUGGAGCAAGCUAGGGGGCAAUGGAAUUCCCGGUGUAGUGGUGGAAUGCGUAGAUAUCGGGAGGAACACCAGUGGCGAAGGCGGUUGCCUGGAGCUUUGCUGACGCUGAUGCGCGAAAGCGUGGGGAGCGAUCCGG